rnacentral:tRNA from 1 species
UCCGCAGUAGCUCAAUGGCAGAGCUACCGGCUGUUAACCGGUAGGUUGCUGGUUCGAGUCCAGCCUGCGGAG